CCUACGGGUGGCAGCAGUGGGGAAUAUUGCACAAUGGGGGAAACCCUGAUGCAGCGACGCCGCGUGAGUGAAGAAGGAAUUCGGUAUGUAAAGCUCUAUCAGCAGGGAAGAAAAUGACGGUACCUGAGUAAGAAGCCCCGGCUAACUACGUGCCAGCAGCCGCGGUAAUACGUAGGGGGCAAGCGUUAUCCGGAUUUACUGGGUGUAAAGGGAGCGUCGACGGUGAUGCAAGUCUGGAGUGAAAGGCGGGGGCUCAACCCACGGACUGCUCUGGAAACUGUACGGCUGGAGUGCAGGAGAGGUAAGUGGAAUUCCUAGUGUAGCGGUGAAAUGCGUAGAUAUUAGGAGGAACACCAGUGGCGAAGGCGGCUUACUGGACUGUAACUGACGUUGAGGCUCGAAAGCGUGGGGAGCAAACAGGAUUAGAUACCCCAGUAGUC
rnacentral:rRNA from 1 species